rnacentral:rRNA from 1 species
ACGAACGCUGGCGGCAGGCUUAACACAUGCAAGUCGAGCGAGAUCUUCGGGUCUAGCGGCGGACGGGUGAGUAACGCGUGGGAACGUGCCCUUUUCUGCGGAAUAGCCUCGGGAAACUGAGAGUAAUACCGCAUACGCCCUUUGGGGGAAAGAUUUAUCGGAGAAGGAUCGGCCCGCGUUGGAUUAGGUAGUUGGUGGGGUAACGGCCUACCAAGCCUUCGAUCCAUAGCUGGUUUGAGAGGAUGAUCAGCCACACUGGGACUGAGACACGGCCCAGACUCCUACGGGAGGCAGCAGUGGGGAAUCUUAGACAAUGGGGGCAACCCUGAUCUAGCCAUGCCGCGUGAGUGAUGAAGGCCUUAGGGUUGUAAAGCUCUUUCAGCUGGGAAGAUAAUGACGGUACCAGCAGAAGAAGCCCCGGCUAACUCCGU